rnacentral:lncRNA from 1 species
UUUCUCUCUUGACACUAUGUGUUAGAAUAACUUUCUCCUGAUCCAUGUUAUCAUACUAUUAAAUGCGUAUUUUCUUUCCUGGCUGAGUCUUACGUCCCCUCCACUGUCCUUGCAGCUUAUGGAAAGCUUGCCAUGGCCUAUUUUGUGCAACAUAGUCCCUGUUUUUCUCCAGAAAACAUUAAAGUUCCAGGGAGUUUAGAUAACCAGGAGUUUGAGUCAGACCAUGAGGACAGAAGAGUUUUGGACAAAGAUAGAGGGUUAAACACAUCCAGACUAGUUACUGCAAUUUCUCAUCUCUCCUUUCUUUA